AACGCAACUUGCGCUCUCUGGUAUUCCGGAGAGCAUGCCUGUUUGAGUAUCAUGAAAUCUCAACCAUUAGGGUUUCUUAAUGGCUUGGAUUUGAGUGAUGGCAGUUCGCCUGCCUCGCUUUAAAAGAGUUAGCGUGUUUAACUUGUCGAUCUGGCGUAAUAAGUUUCGCUGGUGUAGACUUGGGAAGUGCGCUUCUAAUCGUCUUCGGACAAUUCUUGAACUCUGGUCUCAAAUCAGGUAGGGCUACCCGCUGAACUUAA
rnacentral:misc_RNA from 1 species